rnacentral:rRNA from 1 species
GGUCCUUAGGUUGGGCCAUUAAUUUUAGGNUUGGGCCACUCUAANAGAAAACCGCCGGUUGNUAAGCCGGAAGGAAGGUGGGGAUGACGUCAAGUCCUCAUGGCCCUUACGCGCUGGGGCUACACACGUGCUACAAUGGCGGUGACAGUGGGCAGCAAUCUCGCAAGGGUGAGCUAAUCUCCAAAAGCCGUCUCAGUUCGGAUUGUUCUCUGCAACUCGAGAGCAUGAAGGCGGAAUCGCUAGUAAUCGCGGAUCAGCAUGCCGCGGUGAAUACGUUCCCAGGCCUUGUAUACACCGCCCGUGAAUCACUAGUGAAUUCG